rnacentral:rRNA from 1 species
AUUGAACGCCGGCGGCAUGCCUUACACAUGCAAGUCGAACGGUAACAGGUCUUCGGAUGCUGACGAGUGGCGAACGGGUGAGUAAUACAUCGGAACGUGCCCGAUCGUGGGGGAUAACGCAGCGAAAGCUGUGCUAAUACCGCAUACGAUCUACGGAUGAAAGCGGGGGAUCGCAAGACCUCGCGCGGACGGAGCGGCCGAUGGCAGAUUAGGUAGUUGGUGGGAUAAAAGCUUACCAAGCCGACGAUCUGUAGCUGGUCUGAGAGGACGACCAGCCACACUGGGACUGAGACACGGCCCAGACUCCUACGGGAGGCAGCAGUGGGGAAUUUUGGACAAUGGGCGCAAGCCUGAUCCAGCCAUGCCGCGUGCAGGAUGAAGGCCUUCGGGUUGUAAACUGCUUUUGUACGGAACGAAAAAGCUCUCUCUAAUACAGGGGGUGAAUGACGGUACCGUAAGAAUAAGCACCGGCUAACUACGUGCCAGCAGCCGCCGUAAUAC